rnacentral:rRNA from 1 species
UACGGAGGGUGCAAGCGUUAUCCGGAUUCACUGGGUUUAAAGGGUGCGUAGGCGGGUAAGUAAGUCCGUGGUGAAAUCUCUGAGCUUAACUCAGAAACUGCCGUGGAUACUAUUUGCCUUGAAUAUUGUGGAGGUGAGCGGAAUAUGUCAUGUAGCGGUGAAAUGCUUAGAUAUCUGGAGGAAUACCGGUGGCGAAGGCGGCAUCCUGGACCGACAUUGACGCUGAUGAGCGAAAGCUAGGGGAGCAAACGGG